rnacentral:rRNA from 1 species
GUUAUAUGGUCAAGCGAAUAAGCGCACACGGUGGAUGCCUUGGCGGUCAGAGGCGAUGAAGGACGUGGCAGCCUGCGAAAAGUGUCGGGGAGCUGGCAACAAGCUUUGAUCCGGCAAUGUCCGAAUGGGGAAACCCACUGCUUCGGCAGUAUCCUGCAGUGAAUACAUAGCUGCUGGAAGCGAACCCGGUGAACUGAAAUAUCUAAGUAACCGGAGGAAAAGAAAUCAACCGAGAUUCCCUAAGUAGUGACGAGCGAACGGGGACUAGCCCUUAAGCUGGUAUGGUUCUAGAAAAACAACCUGGAAAGGUUGGCCAUAGAAGGUGAUAGCCCUGUAUUUAAAAGGGCCAUUCCAGUGAAGACGAGUAGGGCGGGGCACGUGAAACCCUGUCUGAAUAUGGGGGGACCAUCCUCCAAGGCUAAAUACUCCUGACCGACCGAUAGUGAACCAGUACCGUGAGGGAAAGGCGAAAAGAACCCCGGAGAGGGGAGUGAAAUAGAUCCUGAAACCGUGUGCGUACAAGCAGUAGGAGCUCGCAAGAGUGACUGCGUACCUUUUGUAUAAUGGGUCAGCGACUUACUGUUCGUGGCAAGCUUAACCGUAUAGGGGAGGCGAAGGGAAACCGAGUCUGAUAAGGGCGCAUAGUCGCGGGCAGUAGACCCGAAACCGGGUGAUCUAGUCAUGCCCAGGGUGAAGGUCAGGUAACACUGACUGGAGGCCCGAACCCACUCCCGUUGCAAAGGUAGGGGAUGAGGUGUGAUUAGGAGUGAAAAGCUAAUCGAACCCGGAGAUAGCUGGUUCUCCUCGAAAGCUAUUUAGGUAGCGCCUCAUAUGUAUCCUCUCGGGGGUAGAGCACUGUUAUGGCUAGGGGGUCAUCGCGACUUACCAAACCAUUGCAAACUCCGAAUACCGAGACGGACUGUAUGGGAGACACACGGCGGGUGCUAACGUCCGUCGUGAAAAGGGAAACAACCCAGACCCACAGCUAAGGUCCCAAAUUCACUGCUAAGUGGAAAACGAUGUGGAAAGGCAUAGACAGCCAGGAGGUUGGCUUAGAAGCAGCCACCCUUUAAAGAAAGCGUAAUAGCUCACUGGUCGAGUCGGUCUGCGCGGAAGAUUUAACGGGGCUAAGCAGUGAACCGAAGCUUGGGGUGCAUCGCGAUAAGCGAUGCGCGGUAGAGGAGCGUUCCGUAAGCCUGCGAAGGUGGAUUGAGAAGUCUGCUGGAGGUAUCGGAAGUGCGAAUGCUGACAUGAGUAACGAUAAUGCGGGUGAAAAACCCGCACGCCGAAAGCCCAAGGUUUCCUUGCGCAACGUUAAUCGGCGCAGGGUGAGUCGGCCCCUAAGGCGAGGGCGAAAGCCGUAGUCGAUGGGAAGCAGGUUAAUAUUCCUGCACCUCGCGUAAGUGCGAUGGAGGGACGGAGAAGGUUAGGUGUACCGGGCGUUGGUUGUCCCGGGGAAAGGCGGUAGGUUUGGAUCUUUGGCAAAUCCGGGAUCCUUUAAGACCGAGCACCGAGACGAGUCUUUUAGACGAAGUCACUGAUACCACGCUUCCAGGAAAAGCUCCUAAGCUUCAGCUUACGCAGACCGUACCGUAAACCGACACAGGUGGGUAGGAUGAGAAUUCUCAGGCGCUUGAGAGAACUCGGGUGAAGGAACUAGGCAACAUGGCACCGUAACUUCGGGAGAAGGUGCACCCUUUUUGGUGGCUCGUGCGAGCUAUAGCUGAAGAGGGUCGCAGAAACCAGGCCGCUGCGACUGUUUAUCAAAAACACAGCACUCUGCAAACACGAAAGUGGACGUAUAGGGUGUGACGCCUGCC